ensembl:lncRNA
GAGAUAUCAGAAGACUGAAGGAGUUGUGAUGGAUGUACUGUAUGAGAAAAUGGAAGUGCUGGAAAUAAACUUGGGGAAAUCAUAAAAUCGUAGGAGGUGGUUAGAUGAGUUCAUUGCUUUCCUCAGUGCAUGAAUUUCUAUGGCCAGUCACAGGAAAAGGCUUUCCUUAGGAACAUUUCUGCUGUGCAAGUUUCCCCUGUCAGUGCUCCAAGCCCAACUGUGACCACAUUGCUGCAGCUGGCGCUGGGCUGGAUAUGAUCACCCCAAAACUUCAGAGAAACAGAGUCCAUUUAGAGGGGGCUUUCAGCUGCAGUUACAGUGCUGAGGAAAUGCCUGCUUCUUAAAGACGUACAGCAUAAAUAUCCAACAGAAAGCUGAGAAGAGUGUCAUGAAAACAUUCAAGAAGUAAUUUGAAAUGAAGAAUCCCUGACUGUCUCAUCACAAGUUCAUCUGCCACAGGAAGGCUAACCUUUGAAGAAACAUUUAUCAGAGUGAGCUAUUUGAUCAGGUGUAGCUCGGAGGUGGAUUUCCUUUCAGUGGUAUGUAGCUCCAAGCCAGCGCCCUGAUUGCUGUUACUCACACUGCAAUAUUGGACUCUGUGCCCUCCUUCUCUUCCUAAAAGGGCUACUCCUAGUCCUCACGAGACAGUGCAGUCUGGGAAGGCGACUGAGAAAUAAAAGAUCCUCUGCUAAUCCCAAAAGAAAACAAACACUGCAGGUAUUUCAUGUGACAACAGUGAACUAUUUUUAUCCUUGCAGAUGGCUGUGAUGGCCCCCUUUAAGUACUGGAAGGCUGCUGUAAGGUGACUGGGGACUUCUCCAGGCUGAACUACCCCAGCUCUCUAAGCCUUUCAGUAUAGACAGCCUGUCUCUGUUCUCUCAGAAUUUUCCUCCUGGAUAUACAUCCUUCAAGCAAGUUAUCCUCUUUUCAGUUUCUGAAAGGGGUCUCAGGGGUACACAAGGCCAGCUUCCUCAUACUAUCAUAGAAUCGUAGAAUCACCAAGGUUGGAAAAGACCCACAGGAUCACCCAGUCCAACCAUAUCCUCGUGGGACAAGUGCUCCUUACCUCUGCCAUCUCAGUGGCCUCUGCUGAUGCAACUCCAGUUUGUCAAUGUCUCAAUUAAAAAUAAGUAGUGUAUUGUAGAAUCUGUAAGAAUCUCAAUAUGACUGAAGCACUCAGAAUAUGAGAAAUACUGAAUCAGAUAAUUUUUGAUGCGAGUAGCUUUUUUUUAUUUGCAUCUGGUAUACUAUAAAUGAUGUAUUGUAGAAAACAGACACAAAAUAUGAACUUCAAAGAACUCAUUUUUCAAACCUUCUGGAUUAUAAUUUAUCCAAAUGAAUUGAAGUCAAUAUACUUUGAAUUUUCUUAUUCCUACUCUUAUUUUUACUUUUGUAUCCUGUCAAAUAUGCUUCAGCCCAAAAACAAAGGGGUUCGUGUACUACUAGACCUUGAUGAAUAUGGUCUUUUCCCAUGGCAAAGUAUUACAUAAGGAUUUAAAAAGAACAGCUAAGCAUGUAGAAUAUUCAUUACAGUUGACUGUGAAAUUCCCUAAUGUGCACAAAAAAACCUGCUACCUACCCAAUUCAGUUAAAUCACCCUACAUUUUGUAGAAGAUAUCAAAAAAAAAAAAAAAAAAAAUCUAACCAAUUUCAUAAAAAGAAUAAUAGCAAGAAAAAAAAAUAGCAUUAGCCCAUGCUACUGACAUUCAUCAUUUUAACCAAGUUAGAAGCAGAAGAGAAAAUUCAGUGAAUUACCAUAACAAUAUAAAGAAUUAUAAGUAGAGAAAGAUUUUUUAUGGUAAUGUGUGAGCAACAUGUUGUGUAUUUCAAUCUUUUCCCUACAGGCAUUUUUGGAGUUUUUUUGGUCAAUGAUAACAAAAUAGUUCACCAAUUACCAGGUCAAUCCCAAAAUUAAAAAAAAAAAAAAAAAUGGUAUUGAUAUUUAGCUCUGUCUUUAUGUUAUGGGAAAAGAUAUGGAAAUUGCAUAUCUUUGGUACAUUUCCAAUGCUCUAAAAAAAAAAAAAAAAAAAAAAUGUUAUCUAAUGCUCAGUAAUGUGGAACCCUGCUCUCUCUUCCUCUCCCUGCUUGCUCACAUAUGCCACAACUUGUUCCCACCUUUGUGACUAAAACCGAAGAAGUGUACUUAUAGAUGCAUUCUGCCACUUUCAUUCUCGGAAUUCCCUUGCAGGAAUAUUGUCCUUUCUGUCCAAGUGAAACUGAGGCCUUACAAGCACCAUAAAAUGUUUUCCAUGCCACAGUUUAAUUUGAUUUCAAGACUGUCAUUUCUGAUAGAAGGAACAAGAUAGAACAUUUCUAGUAGUUUAAUGAGGGGGAACACUACCUUUCCUUCUUAAAGUUUUAGUCAAAAAUCACCUCUAACUCCUGCUACAAUAUUUAUUUUUAUAUUUUUUGUUUGAAAAGCUUUUACAAGGUAAGAGAAAUCUACACAAUUCAGAAGUCCUUUACUUUUGCCAGUCUGCUUACAGGUUAAAGCAUUACACAGAAACCUCACAAUCUGAACUUGAUAAUCUUUUCAAAUGAUACACUAAAACCAUCACCCAGUUUCAUUAGGUAGUGCACACGCUGAGUUCUUGACUCACCUACUGCCUGCAGCAGCUGUUGCCCAGUGACUGAAUUAGUUACUGGGAGAAUAAAGACACCUGGGACAAAGGCACUUCCUUUUCCAUUCUGAGGUUCCUCACUGUGGUGCCAUGGCAAGGCUAGUGCAAGGUUAUUUUGAUUCUGAAUCUGGCAAUUGCAUUAGUCCCUACACAAAAGAGACAAAGAGCUGAGAGCAUAGUACUUAUGAGUGACAGCAAGUGUAAUGAUCAGUGUAAAAGCUAUUCUCCUUAUUUCACUCUUAAAACUUCAUCGUUUGUCCACACUUUUCUUAAAAGUGUAUGUUUUCUUGAGUAAUUGACACACUGUUGGAAAGUUUUUCAAGAUCGAGUGAACUAAACCAACUAAAAUGAAUCCUAUCCUAUGAAGGUUUCACUAAGAUUGCAAGAAUACUCAUGUUCUGAAAAUUAUCAAAAGUUAAAAAGGAAACCAAUCCUAGUUUAUACAAAUUAAUGCCAUUUUAAAGCCUAUGUUCAAGACUAAGGCCACAGUGACAACAGAUGUGUCAAAUUUUCAGCUGAUUUUAAUCAGUAAAAUUCUCUGGGUUCCAAUAGAGUUUUUCUGAUUAAAAGCAGCUGAGAAUCUGGACCAAUUAUUUACAAAUAAAUUAUUCAUGAAAUAAUGGGGGAAAUUGCAAAUAAAUAAUGUUACUGAUAUGGCCUGGACACUAUUUUUACAAAAACAGAAUUUGAUAAUUAAUUGACAAAAAAAAAUCAGUUGUCAUUACUAUUCAUCCCAUGAAAAAAAGACUUGGUAUACUGUAAUAACGUGAUAACAGUGACUGCAGAAUUGUUUAUUGGAUAAUUGCAAGCUAUAGGAGUGGAAAGCAUGUGUAUAGCUUACUCUGAGAUAGAAGCUCUUUUGUUAAUUAUAUUGCUAUUACAAGUCUACUAAUCACGCUAAUAUGAAACAAAGAUCAGUUUGACUCCAAAUAUCCAAAUAAAGUAUUUCAGAGUAGAUUAUGGAACAAAUCUUGACAAAUCUUGCAAGUGGCGGAACCGAUUUGAACAUGUGCCUCUGAAAAACAUCACUUGUUUAUACCUGAGAAUAGUGAGAGAAAAUAGAGAGGAAUCAUAGUAUUGGAUACAUAAGCUAUUACUGGGUUCCAAAAACAACGCAGUACGCUAUUCCUAACAUCAGGCUCAGCAUCAACAGAGGAAACAAGCUGGAAAUUUGAAAUUAGUUAAACUUGCCGUGUUUCAACUGCAUCCUGGAUAUGUCCCAAGUAAGUAUAAACAAAUUUAAAUAUACUGAAUAAACAUCUGGACCAUUAAUAUUGUCAUAUAUAAUCAAAUGAGAAAACCAUUGCUUAGACUCAGUCAACUUUCCCAGGUACUAGGAACACUAGAAAAAACAGUCUUAAUUGUGCAAGCCAACAUAUGUCAAGCAUUACCAUAUUACCAAAUUAUUUAACAUAGCAAUUAAAAAUUCUCCCAGAGAACAUCACUAUUAAAAGCAAGGAGUUCAGUUCCCGUAGCUAUCUGUGCUUGGUAUUUAUUUUUUUAGAUUUCAUUAGCUUCUGAAUGCAUCAACAACUUUACUACUGUGGAAGACUCACAGAGCUUUAGGCCCUGAAGUUUGUUUUCAGUUCAAUAUUCAGCCAAAAUAGACAAAUUGAAGUCUCAUAUCUUCUGCUAAUGUAGUAAUAGGGGUAGCUGAGACCCAGCAUCAGCAGAAUCCAACAUUUUUCAUAAAUUCUUCAUAUCUGACAGUACUGAAUGUUUUUACUUGGUACAUCACUAUUCCCCUUCCCUUUGCUCUCUUCCAUUCCAUGUCUGUCAUCUUUUUCUCAUUGUAUGCCAUAGACCAGCACAAGUCAGACUGUAACUACUAUCUUGUGUUUCAUGCCAACAAGGCUCCCAUUUGCUUGGAAACCAUAGUUCUAGGAGAAAACAGUCUGGGAAAAAAAAAAAAAGACUUGCAUCUUCCUUCCAUUGCUGGCCUACGUUUAUAACAUCCUUCUAUCACUCUCAGUAAAACUGUAAAAAAAUUUUCUGUCAAGAAAACCAAACUAGAGGCAUUAUCUUUCCUGGUUAAGCUGAUAAAUUCUUUCCUGUCCUCAAUAGUCUUCAAAAGUCUGCACCAACACAGUGAGGUGUUAGUGCAAGUCUUGGGCUCAUGUCUCAUGGACAAGUUUGAAAAGAGGGCAAGUAAUUUUGUUCAAAAUUAUUGCUCGUAUUUCUUCUGUUUGGAUUACAAUUCUGCAGGGAUUUCUCUUUAAAUUGCAGGAAGGAUACUUGACAUUUUUUGUGAAAGGGAAAACAUUGCUCUGUCAGUUCUUUCUUUCUCCUUCCCUUCUAUUAUAUGUAUAUAUGUGAGCGCAAAAUGUAGUCAACUAAUCCUGACUACAAAAAUGUUGAAGUGUAACUACUCUUUUUUGUAUUCUGUCAAAUACUGAAUGCUAAAACUGUGGUUGUUUGGGGACCAGAGCAUCAUCCUUUGUGUUUUAUAGCAACCCACAUAAUAGAAAACGUGAGCGUAACUGCUUCCAUUUCAGCAGAAUUACAUUUUGUCUUCAGUGGUGCAAAUAGCAUUGCAGUCCAGGGUAGGAUUAGAAAGGUGCUUAUCCACUGAAUGCGCUUUCUGUUGCUUUGGCAUUAUGUAAUUCUAAGUCUCUCACAAAUCACUUUCAGUUAAGUAGGGGGAAAAAUAUGCAUCACUGUAUUUCUGUCCUUGCUCAAAUUGGCUGCAGUGCAAAUCAGAGGAACCAACUGCAGAAAGAUACACUAAAUGUAAAGACAAUAUGGAAUCUAAAAAAGAGCACAAGCAUAAUUUGAAGACUGCUAGGUUAAAAAACAGAAUGAUAAAAUCCUAAUAAGCUCUCAGACACCUAGUAGUCCACAGGGCUUGAGUUUUCCCCAGAAAACUUGUGAAGGCUAAUUUCUCUGCAGAUACGGAACUGCCAUCUUGAAGUAAAAUCUGGUAAGGAUAUAAUAACAGCGUCUAUCGAAUACACGCACUGUCAGUUUUAUUUACGAAUGUGCGUGGAAGAGAUAACAAUGCCCACUUGUGGUAUCCGAGUUCAGAAGGCUGACUGUCCUCAGUGGGGUAUGCAGAUCGCUGGGAGUCCAUAGAAGUCAGGAAGAGAAAAGAGAGAAAAAAGAAGAAAAAAAGAAUUCGAUACCUCUUGCUGAAUCUAGCAUUUAUGUAUAGAAGGACGACAGAUUUCAAGGUAAGGGAGAGGCAAGAGUAAAGCUCUGCAAGUGUGCCUGGCUUCCUAAUGUAGCGAUGUGUAGCUGAAGGGGGAUUUCAGGGUAUUGCUCUCUGCAAACAUGCUCAUGCCUUUUCUUUUCAUUUUAAAGGUAAUUAUAUAAAAUUUUGCUGAAAUAUAACACUCCCAGUAAAGUCUUUUAAAUAUGAGUGUGUGUGUGUGUUCACUCUACUGCCCAGAGUUAAAACUGACAAAUCUGGGGCCUCUGUAAGGAAAAGCGUUUCUCUGCCACAUUCUGUAUAUAGCCAGCAGCUCCUGAGCCACAGCUCUUUCCUUCCAAAGACCAAAUAUGAUUUUACCAGGGAGACUGUGUUGUGUUUUCUCAGCUGUAUUGCUUAUUUCACACAUUUUUUUUAUUGCUAAUUCUGCCCAAUUGAGGGAGCAGAGAGUCUAGCUUGUGGCCUUUCUCAGAGUGCUCCAACAAAUCAAACUGCUAUGACCACUGCUGAAAAAAAGAGGUCUUAGGUGGUCAAGAAACUGUGAUGACAGAGAACCAAACAUAAGAUUCAUGUCUUUUUAGUUUGGACUGGAAGUGACAUUAGAGAGCUGUUCCCAGGGCUUGCAAAGAAAGCUACUCAUGCAGAAAGGUUGUGUUUAUGUUCAGUGCGGUCAAAAUCUUUAAGACAGCUAACUUUAUGCCUCCAGAGUUGUCUACAAAAACAAAUCUGUAUUCUUUUAGCAUGACUUACACUUUAAAAAUAUCUAUUGUAAUGUGCUUCUCUUUUUCAAGACAUGAUAUCAUAGUAUGGUUGUUAUCACUACAAAGUUUAGCACAGGAUAGUGUUUGAGAGGAACCAACAUGGCCUUGCAUUCAGAAAAAGGGAACUCUGAGGCUCAUAAGAUUUCUGAUAUCAUACAGGCAUAUAUCUGCGUUCUCUAUAUUUUCAAUGCAAAUUAUAUUCUCAUUACUUUUUAAUGGAAGUUUUCCAAUAAGCUUGAUUUGUUUUUUUUUAACUUAUGUUGUCAUGCUCAAUCUCUGCAUGGUAUUUCUUCAUUUGUGAGCAAUUCAUACACAAUAUUCCUCAGGUCUUUUUUUAGGUAUCCAAAUGAUGAAAAGCUGAGCCCCUCUGUGGGAAGUUGAAAUGAUACUCUCAAGGUCAUUUCAUCCAAAUGACAAUCUUCUUUUUACUCUCCUAAGCUGGCUGCAAAUGCAUUACACAUGUUAGUCAUAAAGUCAAACCCACUGUUUACACGAGAAAGUAGAAGUUGGGGUAAUGCUGUUUUGCACCUGUUGUUAUUCUUGUCCAGUAAGAAAAACUAUGUGUGAAAUACAUUGCUGUGUUUUCCUAAUGAUUUGCAGAAGAGUAAGAGCUUUGCUUAACAAUGGCUGUUUUUUUUCUUCUAAGCAAGGCUUCUGACAUCAUCCUAAAGCAUCUACAGGCAUAAAUUUUUAAGAACAUAAAAAGUUUAUGAGGAUGUGGAAUCACGGAGAAAGAGUCCGGGAUUUUUGUGAAAACAGCAAAAGAAAAAUGUAAAAAGCUAGGCUACGGCACAUACCAGAGGCUGAAGGCUGACUAACAUAAAUCCCAUACAUAUGUAGUAGGAAGUAAUACCAAGAGGAAACUGGAAGGCCUAAUUAAAUGAAGCUCAUACCUGAUGAAUGUUCCUGAUGGCACUGGAAUAAUGCAGCAGAAAUGAAGCAGUACACAACAUGGAUCUUGAUUUUAGAAAGGCUUCCUAUACUGUACAAACAAGUCAAAUUCCAUAAUCUAGCUGCUGAGGUAAUAGUGUGCAGCCGCCAACAGCAGACUGCUAAUUAUUAUUUUUUUAAUUUACCUGGUUGGAAUAAGGUAAAAAUCCAGAAAGGUAUAAAGAUUCAUCACUAAAAUUUAGGUGCAUCAUUUCUAUAUCAAUUUAAAUUUAGAAGGCUAAGAAAUAUGUAAUCUAAGUGGUUCUCUGGAUAUUGGUUUGUGGUUGAACCUUUAUUGGGGUAAAACUCAGCACAUGGUAGGUGUGGCCACCUGAACUUUUUCCAUUGUUUCAUCCUUGAAAAUUUGGGUUAUAGCUGUUUGAUUUAUAAGAAAACAUUGUGUUUGAAAAGGAUAAUUUUCAAACAAAAGAAGAAAGUAGCAAUUUUUCCAGUAAAAAAUUUCUGAUAGGAUCAAUAUAGCAGAGGUGGAAGUAGCUUGGUUCAGCUUUAGGCAUUCAGCUUAAUCUGAAGAGUUUUUAUUUUAGCAAAUCUAUCUACUCACCUGCUGGCUUAUCUAAAAGUCUGCUGGGGUGUCUGUGCAUCUCUUGGCAUAUCUGUAUAAUGGUAAUAAACAUAAUGGAACAGUUCUGGCAUCCUACUCAAUAACAGAGUGAGAAGAAAACUCCAAGAAAAGACAAAAUCCUGCUGAAAACCAGCCACCGAGAAAACUCCAUAUAUGACAGCCAACAUUACACUCCUGACUACAAAAUUCAGAGACCUAUGCAUUUUAACCUGUAAUCACAACCUUUGAUCACAAGGCGUCUCAUGUUCAACAUUCCUUUCAAGGCUCCUUGAUGCUGUAAGAAACACCUGCAAGCAAUCAGCUGGUGCUCUGGAGAAUGCUUUCAGUUCCAGGACAGAAAACGUAAAGAAACAUGAACAUUACAUGAAAAGCUUAUGUGGACAUUUUAUAUAUUUGUAGGUAUCUGCCUCUUCUCCCGAAGCCUUUAGAAGCUGUACUUCGUAGUGGAAAGGUAGUAGCCAAAGGCCCUGCAAACCGUCAUGUGUUUUUCUCUUCCACUUGCCAGUUGAUUGACUUAGAAAGGAGACACCACCACUCAGAGCCUUCCUCAGUUUGUGAGUCACUCUCUCCUCUCCCACCAGGCAGCUGGGAUCAGCAGACAUUAGGUAAUUAGCAGCGUUGACAGAAAACCUGCUGAAGCUGGACCACCAUGCUGUAGUUUCUCAGAGAAAGAAUUAUUCCUAACUCUGUAACAGGAUGAAAUGGAAAUUCUCUGGAGAAGAUGCUGGGAGCAACACUUGUCUUUUUGCAUUAGGAAGCACUCGAACAAAAUGUUGUGACAGCCAGGCCGAGUUCCUGAGAUUUAUUUUUUUCUGAGGACUAUCUGUCUGCACUGGUUUCUGGAGAGGCUCAUUUCAUCUCCAUCAGGGAGGACAGAAGAGUGCUCAAGUACUUCAGUCUGGCUUGAUGCAACCAAGACAUCAAACUCACGCUCAGGUUUCAGCCUCAGAGGUCGGAACUAAAAGCAGCUGAGAAUCCAGAUCUUCAUCUUCCGAAGAUAACUGAGCACAUUUCUCCUCCCCAGGAUGCUGGAUAAUCUGUUUGUGACCACGGAGCUGGCAAGUCUUAUCAGUCAGCCUUAUCAGCAUCUUUUAGGCUACCCUGAGCAUAUGCAGUAGCAAAGGGCCAUUCAGGAAGAGCUGCAGAGAUUUGUAUGUUGUGACUCCUAAACAGCCCCGGUCUCCCAGCCCAGUCAAGGUGGUCAUGCACAGAAUUUUAAACACCAGAGAUACUGAGGAGCAUAGGUGUGAAGAACACGCCGUAUUAUUCUCUUAAAAAUCAGUGUUUUAAAUGUGGCCUAAUGUAUUCCUAAGAUAUUUGUGUUCUUGUGUUGUUGCUUCAAAAUAUAGUGAAAAUAACAGGCAAAGAAAUAUAUAUGUGGGAUUGAUUAAACAUUCAAGAUGAAAUUCUGUGCUCUUGAUCAGUUUUCCUGAUAGUUCUAUAUCUCUUGCAAUUCUUUAAUUUAUCCCUUCAUGAUACAUGUCAGCAGAACUACGUGGAGAUUUUGUUCUGCUCUUUAUUACUCCAAGGUCAAAAUCUAUGAAGUAAGAUAAAUAAUUUAGUGAUUUUGCCCUUUAUACUGAGAGAUGUUAACAGGUACAAUGCAGCCAGGAACAUCUUCAAUUAUUUAAUUCACACAGUCAAAUGAAAGGAACACUGCUGAAACACUUGCCUAAAUUAUAUCUGUAUUUAUUUAAGAUGUUUUGCUAUCAAGCAGUGUUAAAAGCAGUAUGAGUCUUAUUAAAACAACUACUUUUAUCUUGGCAAUCUUCCUUCUCUACUAACACCCUUUAAUGGUUUAUUGAAGGGCUUCCCCUGUCAGGUAAAAAAAAGUCCCAAAGUUACCUGCUUUACCGUCCAUAUUUUCAUCAUCCGUAUUAAAUAAUGCAAUCACCACAAGCAUUAUAAAUUGUAAGAAUCAAUGCUGAGCAGGGACGGCAGUCCAGCCCUAAAGCCAAGGCUGUAUUCCAACAGUUUCAGUAUAGAACUUCUGGCUGGGGCACAGAUGUUCAUUUUCAUGCUGUGAUCUCCAUUCUCCUACUCCCCUUCGCCCAGCCGCGGUUGGCACUGCAGACACGUCUUUAUUGUAACUUUGUUCUUGUGUGGAUUGCUUUAACAAGAAUUGGCAAGUCGAGUAUAUGACGGUUGUAAAUUUAGCAGUAAAUAAAAGGCCUUAGGUAACCUUUUCCCCUUUUCUGGGGUUUAUUAUAUAUUGCUUUGAUUAUUUGAUUAAUAUCUAAACAGUAUCAUCUUUGUAACAUGCUGCCACAAAUAUUUGAGGGAGGAUCAUUUCAUCUAGCUGAAAUACCUGCAGACAUGCCCCAGGACAGUCAUCACUACAUGCUAGCCAUUUGUCUGCUCCAGGUGUGGCUUGGUGCUCUCCAUACAGAGCCUGCAGUGCUGGGCCACCUGCUUCUGGCUUGUGAGCACUCUGGGGGUGACAGAGGGCAGGUCUACCAACCUCCGUGCCUCCUGCUGAAAUGGCCACCUGGGAGAGAAGACUGCAAAAUUCCCAAAGACAGAGGAUCGAAGAAAGAAGAGCAUGACUCAAGAGCCGAAUGAAUAACACAGCUGUCUAAAGGAUGGGGAAUAUGGGGACUGCUCCCUGCUACGGAAAUCUUCAUGGCUCCGGAUGGGUUUUUGACCUGAACUGCAAAAGCAAUCCAAGAACGUGGACCCAAAACCUAGGCGUUCUGGUAAAGUCUUCUGAUCAUCAAGGUACAAAAUCCUGCUUUCUCACGUUUGCUGCCACUAGGCCUUUGUCUUGAAGAAACAGGAGCAACUUCUUUGUCUUCUAUAGGUUAGAAGAUGAAAGCUGUCCUAAUCUCUGCUUUCUUUGAUCACUUAUCUAACAAGAACCUGCCACCUACCAGGAUCUUUUAAUAGCAGUGCAAACAGCUCCUAAAGCUGUUGAGGAAUGCUGUUUGCUCCACACCUGUGGAAAUGGAAGGAAUUUGUCAGGAAAAAAACCAAGACAGAAAAUUUUCUACAUUUCAAAGCUGCUUGAAUUUUAUAAUGUUCUCUUUUUACUUUAAAAUAAUGCUUUCGAUAUUUCUGUGGAAUCUUUUGUUUUCCCUUAACAGAAGCAGCCUCCACUCAAUAUUAGUCAAUAUAUAUUAAAUAUAUAUAUAUCAACAAACCAACAAUGUCCAGCUCUGCAAUAUAUGUGUUAUCUCUUUCAAAAUGAAGAAAUAAAUGAUACCGUUUUUCACAUACACGAUCAUUUUCAAAGUUUUCUUUUCUUUUCCCACAAGACUGUACUGUCAUACUGAAAGCUGGUAUAUUCAAGUGCUGAAAUUGAACCUAUGGUAGCAUGGCCAGAAAAAAAUAUAUAUAUAUGUGAGAAAUUAGUAAAUUUCCAUUGCCCUUCUGUAAUAUGGAUAAUCUAAGUAACAUUUUAACAUAAACUGCCCAAUCUGACAUUUAGAAACUGAAUGUUUGUAUGUGUGCAAAAGAGAAACUAAAGUACAUUCUUCCUAAUGUCUGGCUACUUUAUCAGAAGAGCACUUUAUAUCUUUUAAGGAGCUAGCAGGCUAUUACAUAUGACUAAUAUAUCAAAUUCCAAUGCAGCUUUUAUUCAAAGUUUAAUAGAGAUAAUUGUAACAUAAAAGCUACCCUCUAGAUCUUAUAAUUAAAAGGACGAGAGCCUUAGAGUCAUAAGGAAGGUAAAGUUAAUUACUUACUUGUGUGCAGAACAAGUCCAUAAUCUUAAGUGGCAGCCAAUUUAUAGGUUUGAAUUCCUGAAUGCUAAGGUAUUAGGAGAGUCAUUUCAACUUCUUAUGAUAAUUUCUUCAUAUAAUUAUGAUUAGACCAUUAGAUAUCAUUUAAUUUACUAUGCCACUUCCCAACACGGCCCUUUCUCUAUGGUUUUAUUUACCAGAGCAAAGAUUUCAGGCACUAAUAUUGUCUGAAAGCUUACAGUAAAUCUAAGCAACAGAGAUGUUUUACAGUCAGCGGUAGCAGAAAACAAAAAGUGUGAGUACUGAGAUACUUUUUAGUAAAUACAAAAUUUGGUGAAGAAUUUUUUCUUAUUCUGCAAUAUUAGCUUUACUCUGUGUAUACUCUAUGGAUAAAGUUAAGAUUGAAAUUAAAAAUAAAUACAUGUGGUUUUGACAGAAACUGAAUCACAAGCCAGAUAUGGAAAAACUAUCUAUCUGUGGUGGAUUUUUUGAGCAUGAUAAAAAAAUCUUGCUCAUGUCUUAGCAGUCAUAAUACAACCAGA